CUAAAGCAAGAGAUUACACUACAGACAGAACAAAACCCCGGUAGCAACCUACCAAUUAUAUGGACACUUCAUAUCUUCCUUUGUGCAUCAAAGUACCUGGGAAUUUCACAAACAAGCAAAAUGUGAUUCCAGAUUGCCAGGCAUCAUUCUUCCUUUAUUGAAAAGAAACCAUAGGAGGGGUUGAGUGCAGUGGGGAAUGUGGACACUGUCACAGAUUGUGUGAAGAGACAAAUCAGUGGCAUGAAAAAGUUCUGAUUUUGUGUGUGUGUCUGUGUGUUCUGUGUGGCGAUCCCCUUUGCGCCCCUUAUUUCUGAUUAAAAGGUAAACUCACCCUUUUCUUAUUUCUUUGGGCUCCACAAAGGUAAACUAACCCUUUUCCGCUUUCACCAGGUAUUAUCUUAAUACCAAUUCAAGUCCCACACACAGGAGCUGCUCAUAUAACUUAGGAAUCAGGGGUUUUGAUCAAAUAUUCUUUUAUUGUUAAACAAAUCAUAAGGGAAAGUUUCAGGUGUGCCCAUAUAUCAGAUCAUGUAUUCAAUCACUGGUUUUCAGAACUAUUAUAUGUUUUAAAUCACUAUAUCUCAUGUUAAGCUUAAAUGUUCAUUCCUGCUUGUUCAAUAUGAUGUAAACUGUUCAAUUACCUUUUCUAACCCCUUUAAUCUAUUCCUAAACCCUAACACUCUCUCAAUAGCUUCUGGUCCCUGACUGUCUCUAUCCCUAUCUUCUUCCAACUGUCUCUAACUGUCUCUUCCAACUGUCUAACUGUCCUGUUAGCUCCGCCCCUCCUGCUCUAUCCUCCCAUUGACAGGCAGGAGUGACGUCAUCUUUUUGCAGUCCAUUACAUUCUGUUUUGUGUUAUUUUGGUCAGGGGCAAGGCUUCGACAAGAUGUACCCUUACUUUUCCCAUCCAGAUGCCUUUGGCUCUUUUCGUAGCUGGAUGCUUUCAGAUGAGGCUUUUCCUGGGGUAUCACACUGCCUCAUAGCCAUACAUUUUCAUCUUUAA
rnacentral:lncRNA from 1 species